UGUGUGCGUGCUGUGUAAAUAGUGGCCAAACUUCCUUGGUAUACCUAAAGUGAACCUUUGUAUCCUCCAGUAAUAAUGCUUCAAGAAGUUCUUGGAAAAUGUUUGUUUAUAUUGCCCUUUUUUUUACUGGAAGAAAUGCAAAUCCUGUAUUAAAAUGGUUACAGAAUUCUUGUGUUCGAAAUUUCAUUUGGCUUCACGGAGCUUAUUAAAAGACAAUCUGAAAAAAAAAAA